CACCAGCCCCUCGAGUGGUGGGGAUGAUUAUUUGGCCUAAAGCGUCCGUAGCCGGCCGGGUAAGUUUCCCGUUAAAUCCAACGUCUCAAGCGUUGGACUGCGGGAAAUACUGCCUGGCUAGAGAGUGGGAGAGGUCAGCGGUAUUCUGGGGGUAGGGGCGAAAUCCUUUGAUCCCCGGAGGACCACCAGUGGCGAAGGCUGCUGACUAGAACACGUCUGACGGUCAGGGACGAAAGCUGGGGUAGCGAACCGGAUUAGAUACCCGGGUAGUCCCAGCCGUAAACGAUGCAUGCUAGGUGUUGGGUUGGCCACGAGCCACCCCAGUGCCGCAGGGAAGCCGUUAAGCAUGCCGCCUGGGAAGUACGAUCGCAAGAUUGAAACUUAAAGGAAUUGGCGGGGGAGCACCACCAGGCGUGAAGCCUGCGGUUU
rnacentral:rRNA from 1 species